AAUAUGGAUGAUCAUAUUUAUGAAUAUUCCCUCCGUCUUAUUUGAAAUUUUUUUAUGAUUAGUAUUUUUAUUGUUAUUAGAUGAUAAAAUAUGAAUAGUACUUUAUUUGUGACUAAUUUUUUUCAAAUUUUUCAAAUAAGACGAACGGUCAAACGUCGGACACAGUUCCCCACGACUGCACUUAUU
rfam:Oryza nivara chromosome 6, whole genome shotgun sequence.